UUGGGUUCCGCCAGACGAAAGAAGUCGGAGGCUUAGGGGAACGAGCAACCCCUUCAAGGUGAGGGCUGCACGUUCUGCAAAAAAAAUCGCCCAAUACCAAUACGAAGGUAGUGUUGGCUGAGUAAUAAUUGGAGCUAAGACUCUACUAGUAUGACAUUUUUACACAUAUAUUAAUUUUUUUUAAAUCCCGACAAAAAUCUUGUGAGCUAUUAGGUCACUCCCUUCUCUAUUUCCCGCAGCACUUUCUUCACAGGCUAACAGAGCGUAAACAGAUUUCAUUAUAUCACGGUUAAAAUGUCUAUUUCCUCUUUUCAGGAACCAGUGUGCGCUCACAGGGCAGAGACUGUUCCUUACUCAUAUCUGUAUUUCUGUAUUAUCAAACAUAGCAUAAUGCAUAGGCCACAACAGGACUCAUUAGGAAACUAUCAGGUUUAUAUUAAUUAAGUCAAAUAUAAUGUAUCCUGUUGUACAGUCUCAAAAGGCUUCAUCGACUGCAUCCCGUUUCACCGCUCAAAUUUUCCAGGUAAUCAGACAGAAGUUGUCCAAAAGAGGCCCCUUUCCUCCCCUUACCUCCCCAUGUCUAUCUGGAUCAUCACAUUCAGCCUCAACUAUUCAGCUACAAAGCAGUACUCAGUACCAGAGCUUUGGCACAGAAUAAAAACCCAUUAUAGAUGUUUGCAAAAUGAGAGGAAAUAUGGUGUAAUAGAAAGAACAUGGAUAUUAUAAUCAGACAAAAGCCAGUGAUGUUGAGCAAGUAUUGAAGUUUUCUGAGCCUGGGUGUUCUUAUUUAUUAAAUGCCAAAAUUGCCUUUCUACUAAAGUUGCUAUGAGGAUUAAAAACCUCCAGCACUUGA